UGUCAAGGAUCACAGAGCCCACACAUCAUACAUCAUGUAUUGGGUGUGGAAAUUCCUCUUCUUGAUGGCAGCUGUCCAAAGUGUCCAAGCCCAGGUUCAGUUGGUGCAGUCUGGGUCUGAGCUGAAGAAGCCUGGAGAGUCAGUGAAGAUCUCCUGCAAGGCGUCUGGCUACACUUUCACAGACUAUGGCAUGAACUGGGUGAAGCAGGCGCCAGGAAAGGGCCUGGAGUGGAUGGGUUGGAUCAACACUUAUACUGGGAACCCAACAUAUGCCGAAGACUUCAAAGGGCGGUUUGUCUUCUCUUUGGACACCUCUGUCAGCACUGCCUAUCUUCAGAUCAACAGCCUCAAGAAUGAGGACACGGCUAUGUAUUACUGUGCAAGACACAGUGUGAAAACCACAUCCUGA